rnacentral:rRNA from 1 species
UACGAAGGGGGCGAGCGUUGUUCGGAUUUACUGGGCGUAAAGGGCGCGCAGGCGGCUUAUUUUGUCAGGCGUGAAAGCCCCGGGCUUAACCUGGGAACUGCGUUUGAUACGGAUGGGCUAGAGUUCGGGAGAGGAGAGUGGAAUUCCCAGUGUAGAGGUGAAAUUCGUAGAUAUUGGGAAGAACACCCGUGGCGAAGGCGGCUCUCUGGAACGCAACUGACGCUGAGACGCGAAAGCGUGGGGAGCAAACAGG